rnacentral:rRNA from 1 species
UGCUAAUACCGCAUAACAACUUGGACCGCAUGGUCCGAGCUUGAAAGAUGGCUUCGGCUAUCACUUUUGGAUGGUCCCGCGGCGUAUUAGCUAGAUGGUGGGGUAACGGCUCACCAUGGCAAUGAUACGUAGCCGACCUGAGAGGGUAAUCGGCCACAUUGGGACUGAGACACGGCCCAAACUCCUACGGGAGGCAGCAGUAGGGAAUCUUCCACAAUGGACGAAAGUCUGAUGGAGCAACGCCGCGUGAGUGAAGAAGGGUUUCGGCUCGUAAAACUCUGUUGUUAAAGAAGAACAUAUCUGAGAGUAACUGUUCAGGUAUUGACGGUAUUUAACCAGAAAGCCACGGCUAACUACGUGCCAGCAGCCGCGGUAAUACGUAGGUGGCAAGCGUUGUCCGGAUUUAUUGGGCGUAAAGCGAGCGCAGGCGGUUUUUUAAGUCUGAUGUGAAAAGCCUUCGGCUCAACCGAAGAAGUGCAUCGGGAAACUGGGAAACUUGAGUGCAGAAGAGGACAGUGGAACUCCAUGUGUAGCGGUGAAAAUGCGUAGAUAUAUGGGAAAGAACACCAAGUGGCGAAGGCGGCUGUCUGGUCUGUAAC